GUUCUCCCCCCUCCCUCUCCUCCAAGCUAAAUAGUAAAAUCUCAUUUAAGAUGCCGUCAAAUGAGCACCCCCAGAAAAAGGUGUUCAAAAAAGCGAUUCUUUUUCAUUUAUGAUUUCCACAUCUAACUUAAAUAGCUCUAUUAGUCCUUUACAAAAUCCCUUUCACAUUCUUAUACAUCAAUUUUUCUUCUUUUUCCCCCCUCUUUUCAUUUUACUACCUGCUCAGUCAAUCACAAAACCCGAAACCCACUUCAAGAAACAUGAAAUCUCCUCUCGAGGUUUCUCUUUUUCUCCUAUUUCUGGGUUUUUCAGCUUAUGUCUUCAAUUACAAUGAAUCUACCCAAGUAAAUGAAUCUUUAGAACUGGUUCCAUUGGUGGACGAAAAGAUGGUGAAGAUGAUGAUGUUUAAUGAAAGCAGAAGAAAGUUGGGGACUUUCCAGAUAUGUGCUGCUUGUACAUGCUGUGGUGGACCGAAAGGUGUUUGCUUGCCAUCCCCUUGUUGCUAUGCCAUCAAUUGCAACAUUCCAAACAGACCUUUUGGUUUCUGCUCCUUCACUCCCAAGACCUGUAAUUGCUUUGGAUGCCAUCUCUAGUUUCAAGUUUUAUUUUAUCUAUAUUUCGUAAUUUUGGCUUGUUUUUAACUAAGGAGUUCAAAAAAAAAAAAAAAACACUUGAUUCUGUUGGGAGUGUGAAAGGGAAGGAAGAGAAUAUCUGGAUUUUUUAUAUAUAUAUAUAAAUUUUAUAGGAAGGUUGGUGUGUCCAGGUUAGUUUUUUGGCCAUCUCCAGUGGGAUGUCUAUAAAUUUUGUUUUCUCGAGGAAGUAGCAUUGCCUGGAAAUAGAUAUUCUAAGCAUUAGAGCACAAUAUAUGGAUAGUUAAGGAACCAUUACCCUUGUUUAUGAAGUUACUGGGUCUUAUGAUAAGGUUUUAUUUUUUAUGAAUAAAUUAAUGUUAGUGUUCAAAGGUGUGGAAGUGUUGCUAAUGACAAAGAUUCAAGAUGUCUAUUAUUUUACUAUUGUCUUGUUCACUUUUAUAGUUAUAUGAUCCAAAUGUUCAGUGUAUUACUUGGGUGUUAUGCAGAAUGCACCUCGGAAUAACAAUGUAAAUAACUCUUUCUUUUAAUAUCAAUUUGCUUUUGGACAGUGUUUGUACUAA